rnacentral:rRNA from 1 species
GACGAACGCUGGCGGCGUGCUUAACACAUGCAAGUCGUACGGUAAGGCCCUUUCGGGGGUCCACGAGUGGCGAACGGGUGAGUAACACGUGAGUAACCUGCCCACAACUUUGGGAUAACGCUAGGAAACUGGUGCUAAUACUGGAUAUGUGCUCCUGCUGCAUGGUGGGGGUUGGAAAGCUCCGGCGGUUGUGGAUGGACUCGCGGCCUAUCAGCUUGUUGGUGGGGUAGUGGCCUACCAAGGCGGCGACGGGUAGCCGGCCUGAGAGGGUGACCGGCCACAUUGGGACUGAGAUACGGCCCAGACUACGACGGGAGGCAGCAGUGGGGAAUAGUGCACAAUGGGCGCAAGCCUGAUGCAGCAAAGCCGCGUGCGGGAUGACGGCCUUCGGGUUGUAAACCGAUUUCAGCAGGGACGAAGCUUUUUGUGACGGUACCUGAAGAAGAAGCACCGGCUAACUACGUG